rnacentral:rRNA from 1 species
GCGCAGCAGGCGCGAAACUUUACAAUGUGCGAAAGCACGAUAAGGGAACUCUGAGUGCCUCCUAAGGAGGCUGUUCAGGUGUCUAAAAGCACCUGGAGUAAGGGCUGGGUAAGACCGGUGCCAGCCGCCGCGGUAACACCGGCAGCCCAGGUGGUAGCCACUUUUAUUGGGUCUAAAGCGUCCGUAGCCGGUUGAGUAAGUUCCUUGGGAAAUUUGGCUGCUCAACAGUCAAGCUUCCAGGGAAUACUGCUCGACUUGGGACUGGGAGAGGUCAGAGGUACUCCAGGGGUAGGGGUGAAAUCCAUUAAUCCCUGGGGGACCACCGGUAGCGAAGGCGUCUGACCAGACCAGGUCCGACGGUGAGGGACGAAGGCUAGGGUCGCGAACCGGAUUAGAUACCCCUGUA